rnacentral:rRNA from 1 species
UACGUAGGGUGCGAGCGUUAAUCGGAAUUACUGGGCGUAAAGCGUGCGCAGGCGGUUUUGUAAGGCGGAUGUGAAAUCCCCGGGCUUAACCUGGGAAUGGCAUUCGGGACUGCAAGGCUGGAGUGCGGCAGAGGAGACUGGAAUUCCUGGUGUAGCAGUGAAAUGCGUAGAUAUCAGGAGGAACACCGAUGGCGAAGGCAGCUCUCUGGGACGGUACUGACGCUGAGACGCGAAAGCGUGGGGAGCGAACAGG